GCAUUUAAACAGCGGUCCCCGUAGGAUCAUCGAAGUUAAACAACGUCGUGCCUGGUCAGUAUAUAGAUGGGCGACCGCUUGGGAAUACGACGUAUUGUAA